GAAGAUCCAUAGCCAUUGCGA
rnacentral:siRNA from 1 species